rnacentral:rRNA from 2 species
AAGCAGCGUGCGGAUGGUGGCGACCGGCGCACGGGUGAGUAACGCGUAUGCAACCUACCUACAACAGGGGGAUAACCCGUUGAAAGACGGACUAAUACCCCAAAACACAGGGGUCCCGCAUGGGAAUAUUUGUUAAAGAUUAAUCGGUUGUAAAUGGGCAUGCGUUCCAUUAUCUAGUUGGUGAGGUAACGGCUCACCAAGGCAACUAUGGAUAAGGGAACUGAGAGGUUUAUCCCCCACGCUGGUACUGAGACACGGACCAAACUCCUACGGGAGGCAUCCGUGAGGAAUAUUGGUCAAUGGACGCAAGUCUGAACCAGCCACUUCGCGUGAAGGAAGACGGCCCUACGGGUUGUAAACUUCUUUUGUAAGGGAAUAAAUUACAGUACGCGUACUGUUUUGCAUGUACCUUACGAAUUACGAUCGGCUAACUCCUUGCCCGCAGCCGCGGUGAUACUGAGGAUCCGAGCGUUAUCCGGAUUUUUUGGGUUUAAACGGUGCGCAAGCUGGAGAUUAAGUCGGCGGUGAAAUUUUGCAGCUCCUCUGUAUGAGUGCCAUCAAUACUGGUAUUCUUGAAUGAGGAUGAAGUACGCAGAAUUUGUGGUGUAGCGGUGAAAACCCUAGAUAUCACAAGGAACACCAGUAGCGCAGAUUAGCUUACUAAACCAUAACUGACGCUCACGCACGGAAGCGUGGGGAGCAAACACGAUUAGAUACCCUGCGUAGUCCACGCAGUAAACGAUCAUUGCUAGCUGUUUGCGAUACAAUGUAAGCCUCUGAGCGAAUAGCGUUAAGCACUCCACAUGGGGGAGUACGUUCG